UUGCGACCAAAAACAACAUAACAGCUUCUUUCAGUAUUUACUAAAUUGGUCAUUGAUUAAGUGCUGGCAUGCAACCAUGACAGUUUACGGCGAUUAGCCAAAUACGCUGUUCUUGUCUUAGUUGUUAUUCAAUCAUACUACACGGAUGGACGUUUUUUUUUUUUAAUUAAAGAACAAAAAUCCAAAAAUGUCACAUCAGCUCCGCAGGAGGUUUACGGAUACAAAAAUUAAAGAGCACUGUACCGACUGUGAAACAUGGAAAGGAACGUUAGCUAUUUUAUCGGGACGCUUUUGCUAUAUUCCCCACAAUGGUGUCUAAAGUAUGUGCGGGACACAGUGACAAGCAACCAUCACUAAUCAAGGCUUUCAAGGGUGAAUCAUGCUGGCCAUGCUAGAAAGCUUGACUAAUCACUCAACAGUAGUCGCGAUUAGUCAAUUCUUCUGAUCAGAUGCAAAUCACGACAUUGUAACCACCAAACAGCUGCUCUUCCGACCAUCACAGACGGGAAUACAAGACAGCAGGAGAAGUAAUCAAUUAAGCAAUAUCACACGAGUGGCCGUUAUGAUGCGCCACAUAUAUCAGAUGGAGGGAACUCAGAUUCCUCGAGAUCCUUGUCCUGCCUGUUUUAGAUCCCUCCCACCUCCCAACACACGUAAUUCCAAUGAUCAAUGACCAUUUCAGGUUUCUUAAGAGCAUGCUGAUGAGUCGAUCAUUUGAAUCAUAUGUGUUGAAGUAGAUCAGCGGUGCCCAACCCUUUUUUGACCAAAGAUCUGCUUUUCGAUCAACUAACCUCCCGCGAUCGACCCGUUACCGCACACGCACGCACGCACUCACACACGCAUGCCCCGAUGAGCAACAGCCAUAAUGGCUUCUAAGAUGAACAAAACAGAAAAAAAGUAGACACAAGCGUUUAUGGGUCUGUGAAAAGGAAAUCACCUUGACGCGGAGGCAUGGGACUCACUUUUGCAGCGUGUUAACAUCUGGUGUUGCAGGUCGUCACUGAAGGUUAAACAUGACCAUGUCGUCAUGGCUUUGGCUGUGGUUGUUGCCACCAGACCGCAAAGCCGAGUGCCAAAGCCAAUUCUCGAAAGUGCUUUUAAUUUUUUUUACACCAGGUGACUUGUAAGUUUAACUAUGAUUUGUUUAUUUCAUGUUAUUUGGCUCCGUCAACACCUUGUUUUGCAAACAAUGACAUUAGUCACAAAGUCGGCCUUUGGUGCGACGGACCUCACCAAAGCAUUUGGGUCAAUAUAUAAGAAUAAUAAAAAACAAAAACAAAUGAAGCUUCUUUUACUGUUUCAUUUUCACUGAGCUACUUGGAGGAUUAGUCCACUUCACUGUGGGGUAUUAGGUUAUAUCCGUGGGUGACAACUAGGGUUCCAUUGAAUGUUUGGCCAGAGAAAAUCAAAAAGUACCCAAUAGUACAGUUUCAGUUUUCUCACUGAAACAAUAAGGCCAAAAUUGAAUGUUGUGAUCACGCAAGCACGUGGCAAAGGCCUGUGGAACCGAGUGAAGAUGUUGCCUUGAGAAAGGGAAAUACGCCCACGGGCAAAAUUCCUCCGCCGCGCCUCUGGACAUUGAUCCGGAAGGAAAAGGCUGCCUGUGUAUAUGCGCAUCACUUGGAAGGAACAAAAGCGCUUGCAUUGAGACGACUUUCACUUUUCAUGCAGGGCAUGAUGCCCAAUUGGGAUUUGAUGUUCAAUGCAAUCUUGUUAUUUACUCAUCCACGUUACGUUGACAAAUGUAACUUGUAUUGUGAACGGAAUGGGACCGGAAAAUGACACGCAAUGCGCACAGAUAACGAAGUUCACGUGGCACAGUGUUUGCAGAAGUAACUAUGGUCUCACUUUUUGGGGCUUAUUUCGGUUCUUUAUUUGCAACUUCCUGAGUCCUCGCUUAAGUGCUUGUGUGUAAGCGCCUCGGGAUGGGAGAUUAUGGGGGAAAAAAAAUUAUCAUGACAGUUUUUUUAUUGAUGUAGAAAUUCUGAUUAAGUUGGCAAUAAGUCAACGAAAUAUUAAUAGCGAUACAGUGAUCCUCGCUAUAUCACGCUUCAUUUAUUGCGGCUUCACUCCAUUGCAUUUUUUUCUCCACAG